rnacentral:rRNA from 1 species
AUGACGUCAAGUCCUCAUGGCCCUUACAUCCCGGGCUACACACGUGCUACAAUGGCAGGUACAGAGGGCUGCGAAGCCGCGAGGUGGAGCGAAUCCCAGAAAACCUGUCUCAGUCCGGAUUGAAGUCUGCAACUCGACUUCAUGAAGGCGGAAUCGCUAGUAACCGCGAAUCAGCAGGUCGCGGUGAAUACGGUUCCCGGGCCUU